rnacentral:lncRNA from 1 species
CCGGAGGCCCGAACUGCUGAGUUCCCACCCAACCGAACGGACACAGAAAGAAUCUGCCCGGCCCGGCCCCGCCCCCGGCCCCUGGAUUCCUCUGGGGGCUGGGCGGGAGGCUGCGGCCGAAAGGCGAAAGAGAGGCUCUUGGCCGCCUCUCCCCUCCUCGCCGUGCUCAGCCAGGUUGUAGAGUACUUGUGGAUUGUGGGACGUCCAGGCUGGUCCGGGUUAAGGCCGUAAGGGGUGCCCCCAGCCAGGGACUUUUAACCCUGUCUUCGUCCCUCUUAAGUCCUCCAAGUGAGACGGUCCUCGGGGCUCUGCUGAUUGCUGAGGUUCCGAGAUGCAGGGGUUUGGUUGGGCCUGGCAGAUAGCAGCUCCUGUUGCAAGAGCUCCUCGCACCCCUUUCCUGUAUCUGUCAGCUAACGGGGUUAGCCAGUUCCUUCACUGGUGAACGUCAGCGCCUGCUUACCCAGACCGCGGUGGUCAGUCGCUAAGGGUGGCCUGUUGAUGGCACUGAGAGAUGCUAUAAACACCAGAACAAAUUUAACACUGGCCAGAACAAGAGCUCUAAGAAGCUGGGAAGAUGGGCCCCAGAGUACAGGGGAGAACAAUUCUGCAGGAACUGUUUUAGUUUCUGUCUUCCUGGAUUCAGGGGGUCUUGCCCAGCAAGUCCCAGAGUGACCUGGUCACACAGGACCACUAGCCCUGCUCAGCUCCUGGCAGCCUCUCAGUCUAAACUGCACCCUCUUCAGGCCACACAUCAACUCUCCAUGUGUAUCUACCCAGCUGUGGUGCUGAUUUUAAUCCUGAAAGAUAUGUUCCAAAUACCAUAAUCCUGACACUGGAAAUCCUGAAAGAUCAAAAUCCCUAAACCUUAAAAUCCAGGAAAAAUCACAAUCUCAAAAUACUAAAAAUCCCAGAUGUUGAAGUCGUGAAAGCCAGAAUCCUGAAAACUGCAAUUCUAACUGAAAAACAAGGAAGGCUACAUAAGAGGGACAGAAAGCCAAACUCUGGGGAAAGGAUUAGUGCAUUUUGGGUUAUACACAGACUUGUUGCAUCUUAUGAGGUGGAUGAGACACCUAGAAACCUGGUCAAGCUUUUUUUGAGUGUCUGUGAGGAAGAUCCACACUCACUGUGGGCAGCACCAUCCAAUCUGCUGACCAAGCAGCACAAAUACACAGGCUAAUGGGUCUAAGAGUUGGCACAGAGCAUUCUUCAACCGCCUUGGACAUCAGAAUGCCAGGCUCACUUGCUGUUGGACUCCAGGACUUAGAUCAGCAAUCUCUAGAUCCCCAGACUUUUUUAUUCUAUUCCACUAUUCUAAAUUGUCAGCAUUAUUUUUUUUAUAUAUAAUUUGCUCUGCUAUGUAUUUCAUUGUUGCAUCAUUUCUAAUCCCGGAAGUAUAAAUUGUGUAGAGACUUUUAGUGAGCUCUAAUUCAUUUCAUGCCUUUUCUUUUUGGUAAAUUUGACUCAGUGAAAGUGCAGUUUCACAACAUUGACUUUGUGUGUAAGCAUUGUGCAUGCACGUAGAAUGUUGAAACUUAGUCGAUAAAUGAAAGGAUGUCCUUUACGUACAUCUACAUCAGAAGGUAAGAUUUCUUUUUUUUCUUUUUCUUUUUUUUUUUAGUGGAGAGUCUGAAUGAGAAAAGUAAGGCCUAUUUAUUUUCUAUCCACUCCAACGGCUCAAAUUCCUGGCGAAUCUGCCGCAGCUCUCACCGGAAGUCAAGAUAAAAUUUCUUAAAGUCUCAUCUCUGGUUGGUGGUUACCCAUUGUGGGUUUUGAUUGGUUGGUUUUUACAAUGCUGGUGACAGAAGCUAGGGCCUGACAUAUCCUAAGCAAGCAGUCUGUCAACUCAGCUAUACCUUGACCCCCAUCGUGGUUUUGGAUUGAUCUUGUCAAAAGAUUUAGGUCAUCUAUCAGAGUCUUCCAGAUAAUCACAGUUAUAAAUCUUGGUGCACAUAAAUUACCAACCAUACUUAUAUGUGUUUAUAAAUUUUGUUUCUUGACCUAUUUCUUAAUGAAUAUAGUUCAUCUGUUUAUAACCAUUAUAUCCAUACAACUGUUAUUUGUAUACUUUAGUGUUUAUGCUUGCAAAAAAUACAGUACAUUGAUAUUGUCUGUUGUAUUGUGUGAAGUGGCC